UACAGAGGGUGCAAACGUUGUUCGGAAUUACUGGGCAUAAAGCGCGCGUAGGCGGCGACGUAAGUGUAGGGUGAAAUCCCACGGCUCACCCGUGUGAAUUGCCCCGCAUACUGCGUUGCUUGAGUGUGGUAGGGGAGAGCGGAACUCCUGGUGGAGCGGUGAAAUGCGUAGAUAUCAGGAGGAACACCGGUGGCGUAGGCGGCUCUCUGGUCCAUAACUGACGCUGAAGUGCGAAAGCUAGGGUAGCGAACGGG
rnacentral:rRNA from 1 species